CUCGUAGGUGGCCAACUAAGUCAGACGUGAAAUCCCUCAGCUUAACUGGGGAACUGCGUCUGAUACUGGAUGGCUUGAGUUUGGGAGAGGGAUGCGGAAUUCCAGGUGUAGCGGUGAAAUGCGUAGAUAUCUGGAGGAACACCGGUGGCGAAGGCGGCAUCCUGGACCAAUACUGACACUGAGGAGCGAAAGCCAGGGGAAGCAAACG
rnacentral:rRNA from 1 species